rnacentral:rRNA from 1 species
CUUCGGAGCAGGAGAGACAGGUGGUGCAUGGUUGUCGUCAGCUCGUGUCGUGAGAUGUUGGGUUAAGUCCCGCAACGAGCGCAACCCCUAUCCUUAGUAGCCAGCGGUUUGGCCGGGCACUCUAGGGAGACUGCCAGGGAUAACCCGGAGGAAGGUGGGGACGACGUCAAAUCAUCAUGCCCCUUAUGAUUUGGGCUACACACGUGCUACAAUGGCGUAAACAAAGGGAAGCGAAGGCGUGAGCGUAAGCAAAACCCAAAAAUAACGUCCCAGUUCGGAUUGUAGUCUGCAACCUCGACUACACGAAGCUGGAAUCGCUAGUAAUCGUGGAUCAGAAUGCCGCGGUGAAUACGUUCCCGGGUCUUGUACACACCGA